rnacentral:lncRNA from 1 species
AACAGGGCCAUGGCCAAAGACAAAGGCAUUGAGCGUGUCUGACCAGAAGUAUGACGCAGCUAUCAGCAAUGACUCGUUCCUAUGCAUAUCGGCAAUAGACAACCUAAUGCAUUGGGCUAGAUUUCUUUCACCCCAUUGGACUUCAUUUGAGUUGCUAACUCUCAGAAACCAAUCUGUCCACCCCACAGUAGGACUGGGCCAGGAGCGAAAAAUGUCCUUCCACAGAUCCAAAGAAAAGUUCUCUGCUCUGAAAGGGAUCCUAUUGGUUUCUGCGUUUAUGAGAUCGGUUGGAUCUGGAUCCCCUAACGGGCCAAGGCAUUGGAGAUGUGGUCGAUCAGUGGGGAUGACAAUUUUGUUAGCCGAUUCCUAAUGGUUUUGGAGGUAUACAAAAAAAACAAAAAAAAGGAGAAGGGGGAAAAAUAUUCAGUACGGCGGAUUGCAGAUAAACGAGGGUGCGAGAAAAGGUCAAUAGAUGGUGCGAAGGACUGACCUCAGGGAUGAUGAAGUUGACGGCCAUUUUGCCACGGAGGAGAAGCUUGAGAGUUUUGGAGUUGGUGAAGAAGGAGCCUCGUCGGAGAUCUUGGAGCUUUUGGAACAGCGCCGCCGCCGGAAAGGUGAGGUUGAAGUUGUAGAAUGAUGUGAUGGAGAAGGAGUACCCAAGAAGGAACUACUUAUAGGACAAAACGGGCAGGGGCAAAUCUGACUUAUCUCUUUGCCGCAUCCGAGAAAUCCGAGGGUGCUCAGGUAGAUAU